rnacentral:rRNA from 2 species
ACCUUCGGGCCUCGCGCGAUUGGAGCGGCCGAUGGCAGAUUAGGUAGUUGGUGGGAUAAAAGCUUACCAAGCCGACGAUCUGUAGCUGGUCUGAGAGGACGACCAGCCACACUGGGACUGAGACACGGCCCAGACUCCUACGGGAGGCAGCAGUGGGGAAUUUUGGACAAUGGGCGAAAGCCUGAUCCAGCAAUGCCGCGUGCAGGAUGAAGGCCUUCGGGUUGUAAACUGCUUUUGUACGGAACGAAAAAGCUCCUUCUAAUACAGGGGGCCCAUGACGGUACCGUAAGAAUAAGCACCGGCUAACUACG